GACUCUCGGCAACGGAUAUCUCGGCUCUCGCAUCGAUGAAGAACGUAGCGAAAUGCGAUACUUGGUGUGAAUUGCAGAAUCCCGUGAACCAUCGAGUCUUUGAAUGAAAGUUGCGCCCGAAGCCAUUAGGCCGAGGGCACGUCUACCUGGGCAUCA
rnacentral:rRNA from 1 species